AUUGAACGCUGGCGGCAGGCCUAACACAUGCAAGUCGAGCGGGGUUUUCGGACCUAGCGGCGGACGGGUGAGUAAUGCGUAGGAAGCUGCCCGAUAGAGGGGGAUACCAGUUGGAAACGACUGUUAAUACCGCAUAAUGUCUACGGACCAAAGUGUGGGACCUUCGGGCCACAUGCUAUCGGAUGCGCCUGCGUGGGAUUAGCUAGUUGGUGAGGUAAUGGCUCAUCAAGGCGACGAUCUCUAGCUGGUUUGAGAGGAUGAUCAGCCACACGGGAACUGCGACACGGUCCAGACUCCUACGGGAGGCAGCAGUGGAGAAUAUUGGACAAUGGGCGCAAGCCUGAUCCAGCCAUGCCGCGUGUGUGAAGAAGGCCUUCGGGUUGUAAAGCACUUUCAGCGAGGAGGAAGGGGUGUGUGUUAAUAGUACACACCUUGACGUUACUCGCAGAAGAAGCACCGGCUAACUCUGUGCCAGCCGCCGCCGUAACAC
rnacentral:rRNA from 1 species